ensembl:lncRNA
GCAAUUCGUUAUGCAAUUUCAAGAGAAAUAUUAGAAAAUAACAUUGUUGAAUAUAGGAUAAGGGUUUUCUUUUAAUGUUAAUUUUAAGUUAAUUUAAUGAUUGAAUCACAUAUGUGUUUUUUCUUUAAUUUAUGAUUGUUUUGUUAAAAUCAAAUAAAACAAUAUCUGGAUUAUCAUAGACCAAGACAAAAUGAUGGAUUAAAUAUAUUCUACACAUUAAAAUAUAUACUGUAUGUUUCCUUAUUCAAGUAUAAAAUGUUAACCUAAUGUUCUUUUCUAGGUCUGUUUGUCAUCUCAUACGGUAAGGUAACUUACAGUUAGUUUUUACAUCAGCAUUAGUUUACUGUGGUGUUUUACAGCAUGGGACUCUGAACACAUUAAACAGACCUGCGGCGUCACACACCUCACAGAGCUCUGAGCUGCUGUCAUCAGAUCACAUGACCUCAGCGCUGAGAGGAAACGACCGGGUUUUAGUUAACUAUAACCCUGGUCAGAUCUGAAUUCAAGUGUGCAGUGGAUUGUGGGGGAAAACCAACGACAUGAGGAGGCUUUCUGACCUGGACAUGAAGAAGAAGAUCAAGUUCAAUCUCCACAUAUCUCAAUGGUAAUGCUUCUUUUUCCAUUUUUUUUCCAGAAUUCCUUUUUAGAUUCUUAGAGG